rnacentral:rRNA from 1 species
GAUUACCUGAACGGUGGAUCACUUGGUUCGUGGGUCGAUGAAGAACGCAGCUAAUUGCGCGUCAACUUGUGAACUGCAGGACACAUGAACAUCGACAUUUCGAACGCACAUUGCGGUCCUCGGAUUCUGUUCCCGGACCACUCCUGGCUGAGGGUCGUAUCAAUUUCAAAGACUGCUCGAGUUUC